rnacentral:tRNA from 1 species
UCUAAUAUGGCAGAUAAGUGCAGUGGAUUUAAGCCCUAUAGAUAAAGAAAUUUAAUCUUUUAUUAGAA